GCGCAGCUCUUAUCAAUUUCUGUUCGAGAAGUGAGCGGAGAUCAUCUGUGACAAAGCCUUACAGAAAGACUUUGGGGAGGAAAAAAAAAGAAAAUCUCUGGAAUCAACUCCCCGGAAAGUGAGUUGUGAGAGACGAGGAAGACGUGCCAAAGGUCAAAUUAUGACUGCCAUGUCAAGGACCGAGACCUCCGUAUGCGAGUCACGCGCUUUACGUCUGCACCAUCACCACUCCCAGGAACUGACAGUCUGACGGGACGACCUUCCUGCUUCCCGGCUGUCCGACCAUAAAAUCUGCUGCGCUCCUCCUGUGUGUCGCACCAGGACUGCAAGAGGGUUAAAAGCAAAAUAGUGGCUCCAAACUUUAGUUCGGGGAACGACGCAUCGCUUCCAGAACGUAAAGCCUCCGCCAGCAGUCUGAGUGAAGACACAGUGCAGCAUCAUCCUGUGGGGUCCUGGAGGAAAACUCGCCAUAGGCUGCUAAAGAAUUUCCACCAAGUCAUGUCAAUUGAGGUUUUCGGUCCUUGAAAAUGACCGACAGUGACGCCGAUGUCAUGCUGGGUAUGUCUGAGCUCAUUUUCUCUGUCAUUUUCAACCUACAAUGUCUGUUGAGUGAUUUUCAACGUCAUGCUAUACUAUUUCUCUUUCCACCUAAUUUUUUACAUCAUUUUAUACUUUGAGUCAUUUUCGCCCAUUUUGAACGUCAUCAUUUUCCUUGUCAUAGAAUACUGUGACAUUUUACCUAAUUUUCAAUGUCAUAUUAUACCAUGUCUCAGUUGGCCUCAUUUUUGAUGUGGGUCAUUUUACCUCAUUUCAACAUCAUGAUAUAUUCUACGUGUAAUUUUACUUCAUUUUCAACAUCAUAUUAUAUACUGAAUUUCGACGACAUUGUGUCAGUUUCACUCUUUUCCGUUGUGCCAUUUUACCUCAAUUUCAGUGUCAUAAAACAUCGAAAUUUUUAUGAAAAUGUUGCCAAAUUUUUGAAGUGAUAGCAUACAAUGUGUCAUUUUACAUUUAAGUAUUAUACUAUGUUAUUUUACCUAAAUUUUGACACCCAAAUAUACUAUGCGUCAGUUUACCUUUUUCUACAUCAUAAUAUGCUGUGUAAUUUUACCUCAUUUCAACAUCAUGAUAUAUUCUAUGUGUAAUUUUGCCUCAUUUUCACCAUCACACCAUAUACGAAGCCAUUUUAUAAUUCAUGCUAUUCUAUGUCUCAUUUUGCAUCAUUUUUAGAGGUUAUGCUUUUUUACUUGUCAUUUUGCCUCAAUUUCAACGUCAUUUUAGAGAUCAGUCAUUUUGCCCCAAUUUCGACAUAUUAGUAUAAUAUGUGUCAUUUUAUACUAUGUCAUUUAGCCUCAUUUUAGAGGUCAUGACCUCUAAACUGUGGCAAAAUGACACAUAUACCAAUAUGUUGAUAUACUAAUAUGUCAUAGCAUGACCUCUAAAAUGAGGUGAAAUGAGACAGAAUACUAAUGUCAAAAUUGAGGCGAAAUUACACAUAUGUAUUACUUUUAAAAUGUGACAAAAUGAGACAUAGCAUAGCAUGACCUCUAAAAUGAGGCGAAAUGACACAUAGCACAGUAUGGCAUUGAAAUAGAGUUCAAAUGAGACAUAAUUCUAGAGGCCAUGCUAUACUGUCUCAUUUGCACCUAAUUUUGACAUCAUACAUAUUUUAGAUCGUACAGUAUGUACAAUCUACGUUAAAAAUCAAGUAAAAUGACAGCAUGGCUUGUUGUUGAAAAUAAGCUCAAAUGAAUAAUAUAAAAUGACAUUAACAAUAAUUUGUCAUUGUUAAUGUUAUUCUGUACUAAAUGAGGUAAACUAAUGUAGCAAUGCAUGACUUUGAAAAUUAUACAGCAUAGUAUAAAGUCAAAAUUCAGCUCAAAUGACAAGGUUAGCAUAAUGUCUAAAAUGAGUUAAAAUGUCAUGUAGUAUACUCUAACAUGACACUGACAUGAAAGAAGUAAAAUGCCGUCUAAAACGAGGUAAGUAUGACGUUAAAAAUGAAGCCAAAUGAGACACAGUAUAGCAUGAGGUAGACAAUGAGGUAAAAUGUCACAUGGGAUGUUGAAAAUGAGCAGGAGACGUAGCAUUAGCAUGUCACAAAUGAGCUCAAAUGAUGCAUCGAAAUGGCAUCAAAAAUCAGUGACAAAUCAACUGAUGUCAAAAAUCAGCUCAAACUACAGAGAGCCUGUUGAAAAUCAACUAAAAUGCCGCAAACCAUCUAUGGCGUUGAAAAUUAGCUCCAAAUGACAGCAUGAUGUCAGCAAUGAAGCCCAAUGACAGACGCAGCACACAAACAGAGCAGAGAUCGGGAAAACCGUUAUUAAAAUGUCUGAAGUGGAAUUUGGUGAAUAGCAAUAUGGAAAAUAAAAAAAGUGCUUGAACUUUUUUUUUUCUAAGGUUGCAAACAUGUCACCCACUGAGUCAGUGUUUGUUCUCCCGCUGUCCUAAACCUCACAGAUUACCAGCCAUGCCGAGAGAAUCUGAACUGUUUUAUAGGCUGAAGAUAUUGGCACUGUGAAAGCAUCCUGGUGAGGCAAGCAGCUGUGUUGGCCAUAUUGUGUAUCGAUCCAACUUGCGCUGCGAUGGCUGCACUUAAUCAGAUUUAUAUUGUAAACAAAGACUCGUAGUAUGAGAUGUGAAUUAGCAGGUAAAUGUUAUCCAUCAAAGGAAAUAAUAAUAUUUUGUGCAGCGCGAUGCAGUAUUGGUAUUUCAGAGAUUUAUCUGGCCUGGUUUACUGCAGGAUGCUUGUGUCGCCUCUGCAGGCUCUGCUCACCAGAACCUUUAACUAAAUGGACACGUGCCCUAAAAUUUAAUUAGUUUAUCUGAUGGGUUUAAUUGUGACAAAAAUGGAAGAAAUCAGUAAGAGGGAGAACAGUUUUUCAAAGAGAAGUGGAAAAAGAGCCCCAAUCUUUCAAAUCUACCGAUAUUCACACUCUGCAGGUCUCUUAAGAACAUGGAUGCAGAUAAUGAAGGAACCCCACGAUGAUCUGUCCUUAUCAGAUUAGAAGAUGAAACGGCAUAACGGUGAACAUUGUCGGAUAAUCCUCAAAACAUAUCGUGCAGAUAAUUAGAGUCUCAUUUAUUAAAAAUAUCCCUACAGCACCAAGCAGCUAGUUGAGAAAUAAAGAGACUACAUCUAAGGAGUAACUUCCAUGCCUGCUACGUUUAUAUUGUCUUCUACAGAAUAUUUUAAUCAGAUCAAAGGAAAAAAGGGGGUAAAGCUUCUGCUUUCUAAGAAUUAAAGUGCUGAUUUUUCUGCAUGAAAUAACUGACAUGUUCUGGGGCCAUCAGAUCUACAGUGACUGAGUCAGAUAAAUGAUUCAGAAAACAUAAUGAUGCUGUUGUGUUUCUAAUCUUUACAACUUCCACACAUCAAAAAGUUUGCUGCAGCCUUCUUGGUUUACUUCUUAUUCCAUCGACUCAAUUUAUGUUUUCAUAUCAAAUAUAAAAAAGAUAUCUAACGAAUUUACACAUUUUCUAAAGAUUACCUUGUUUUUAUCCUGUGUCCUAGAUAAAAAUUGUAGUCAAAGUUUACUGCGUUAAAGUGUUUUGCAUCAUUUUUCCUGCAGAAUUAAGAACUGAAUUUCUUGAUGCGCUUAAAGAAGUCAAAUAAAAACAGCUCAAUUCCACCCAGAUAUUUUUUUUCCUGCAUGGAUUCAUUGAUAAUGUUGUUUACCGUUUUGUAUGGAAAGUAAUUCUGGUCCAGGGCUCAACUGUUUAUCAGUUUCGCUCCUUGGUAAAGCUGUGAUACUGCUGCAGUAAAAUGUAUCCUUUGUUUUCCAUAAAAGGUACUCCAUGCCCAGAACAUCCGGUUUGUUUGAGGAGGUUUGAAUGUCAGAUUGUACUCUGGUCCACCUAAAAACCGUCUGGUUGAAGUGAACUCUGAUUCUUCUGUCUGGAGAUGGCUCCAAAAUUGGGAGGUGGACUAUAGCGCAGGGCAUUCUGGGUAAAUAAAUAUAACCAAAACAAUUGCAUGAGUCUAACGUUAGCUGUACAAGUGGGUCGGGGUGUUUUACCAAAGACAAAAGAGAAACUGCUAAAAUUUGACGCCGCUCCAUCGUUGUUUACAUUUCAUGAAGGAGGAAGUCACAUUCGGUGUCGUCUUCAGAGCUUUUUAUGCCUUUUCCUUUCAUGGUGCAGCGCAAGGCACUGUGCUUUUUAUGACUGUAAAAUGUCACAAAAUGGACAUUAAUUAUUAGAAAAUGCUGACAUGUUCAGCUGUCUUCAGAGAUCUGAAAAAAAAAAGAUGAGCUGCCCAGGUCUUCGUUCUGAAAAAUAAUCUGUAAAAAAUACCUGAAAACCUGCAAAACAAAUGAAACACACAUUCAUGAACGGAAACCAGACCUCGCGCCACCGAAACCACCUGCACGUUUCUUGUUUUGUUUUUUUGUUUUUUCCAUGUAUUUAAUUUAUUCUUAAAAUAUUUCAUGAUAAAAAAAUGUAUUUAUAUGACUAUGUUUGCAGUGCUUCCUUUCGGUACCGUUCCUCUCUGCUUCCUUCAUUGUCCGGAUCGCCAACGGAGAGAGGCUGGAUUUGUGCGAACGAACACAAGCACCAAAAUAAAUUAAGAGAUCAAAACCCGUUGAGGGGGAAAUGAAUCAGUAUUCCACAUCGUGUACAAUACAAUAUCAUAGCAAAUUAGCAGAUUUCAAUGGCGUCCACUCACUACCAUAGAUUUACAAUGUUCUGUUGGCUGCACAUCAGUCCUCAAGAAAUUGUGUCGCUCUCCUUUUUUUUCUCUUUUUUUUUCUUGUCGUUAAUGGUUCUAAUAAGACUGACUUGUAGAUGACCAUGAAAAGAAAGCAGCUACCGAGGUGUGAACAGAAAACCAUAGACUACGAGCCAGCAGUAAUGAGAACAGCGUUUGUUCACGUUCUACUAAACUGCCAUUGUGACCACAUUUAAGUCCAAUAAGCUUCUCUACAAAGGUACAACAUAUAAAAUUGUUAAAUAUAUAACUUUUUAAGGGCCUUUCAAAAUACAUUUAAUGGCAAUUCUUCGCUCUUCCCGUUCCGACUCGACAGUAUCCGUCCGUACUCUCCGUAGACGUGUAGCGUUUCCUUCGACGUGAUUCUGUCCGAAAACCAUAGCUACUGAAAAAUCACAAAUCAGAUUUUUGUUUUUUGUUUUUUUUUUUGUUGUUGAUACAUAGUUAUACGUAUGCAGUACCUAUAGUUCCAGUUCCAAAAUACAAGUUGUGGGCUUCAGCCUGAAGAAAAAAAAAAAAAAAA